CCUUACCUACCCUUGACAUGCUAGGAAUCUUGCAGAGAUGUGAGAGUGCUCGAAAGAGAACCUAGACACAGGUGCUGCAUGGCCGUCGUCAGCUCGUGUCGUGAGAUGUUGGGUUAAGUCCCGCAACGAGCGCAACCCUUGUCAUUAGUUGCUACGAAAGGGCACUCUAAUGAGACUGCCGGUGACAAACCGGAGGAAGGUGGGGAUGACGUCAGGUCCUCAUGGCCCUUAUGGGUAGGGCUACACACGUCAUACAAUGGCCGGUACAGAGGGUUGCCAACCCGCGAGGGGGAGCUAAUCCCAGAAAACCGGUCGUAGUCCGGAUCGUAGUCUGCAACUCGACUGCGUGAAGUCGGAAUCGCUAGUAAUCGCGGAUCAGCUUGCCGCGGUGAAUACGUUCCCGGGUCUUGUACACACCGCCCGUCACACCAUGGGAGCGGGUUCUGCCAGAAGUAGUUAGCCUAACCGCAAGGAGGGCGAUUACCACGGCAGGGUUCGUGACUGGGG
rnacentral:rRNA from 1 species